CGUAAGAGUUUUUAAAAAUAUAAAAAUUGCCCUUUAUUUUGGGAUGUCUUUCCCAUAUUUGUUUUUGCUACUGGGGGGUCAGCAGGUGAUGAUUAAAAAUAGAUAAAGAAAAUACUAGUAAUACGAGUACUGCAGAUUUAUUCUUUUAUCGAAAUUCAGGAGUCUGAAAAUCACUAAUUUACCUAAUAUGAUUCAACAAAUGAAAUUCUUACAUUGGUUGAAACAUACAUACCUCAAGAAAUGAGAAAAUAGUUAUUUGGCACCUUUCUCCAAUAAAGUUUUAAAACCAAGCAAUUUUUUAAGUACCUUUGUUUUUCUUUACUAGGUUUGUAAAUAUUAUCUCUGUGGUUUUUGUCCUGCGGAAUUGUUCACAAAUACACGUUCUGAUCUUGGUCCGUGUGAAAAAAUUCAUGAUGAAAAUCUACGAAAACAGUAUGAGAAGAGCUCUCGUUUCAUGAAAGUUGGCUAUGAGAGAGAUUUUUUGCGAUACUUACAGAGCUUACUUGCAGAAGUAGAACGUAGGAUCAGACGAGGCCAUGCUCGUUUGGCAUUAUCUCAAAACCAGCAGUCUUCUGGGG
rnacentral:lncRNA from 1 species